rnacentral:rRNA from 1 species
CCUACGGGUGGCAGCAGUGGGGAAUAUGGGACAAUGGGGGCAACCCUGAUCCAGCCAUGCCGCGUGUGUGAAGAAGGCCCUCGGGUUGUAAAGCACUUUCAGUGAGGAAGAACGCCUGGUGGUUAAUACCCAUCAGGAAAGACAUCACUCACAGAAGAAGCACCGGCUAACUCCGUGCCAGCAGCCGCGGUAAUACGGAGGGUGCGAGCGUUAAUCGGAAUUACUGGGCGUAAAGCGCGCGUAGGUGGCUUGAUAAGCCGGUUGUGAAAGCCCCGGGCUCAACCUGGGAACGGCAUCCGGAACUGUCAAGCUAGAGUGCAGGAGAGGAAGGUAGAAUUCCCGGUGUAGCGGUGAAAUGCGUAGAGAUCGGGAGGAAUACCAGUGGCGAAGGCGGCCUUCUGGACUGACACUGACACUGAGGUGCGAAAGCGUGGGUAGCAAACAGGAUUAGAUACCCUAGUAGUC